rnacentral:rRNA from 1 species
CCUACGGGAGGCAGCAGUAGGGAAUAUUGCUCAAUGGGGGAAACCCUGAAGCAGCAACGCCGCGUGGAGGAUGAAGGUUUUCGGAUUGUAAACUCCUUUUGUUAGAGAAGAUAAUGACGGUAUCUAACGAAUAAGCACCGGCUAACCCCGUGCCAGCAGCCGCGGUAAUACGGAGGGUGCCAGCGGUACUCGGAAUCACUGGGCGUAAAGAGGGCGUAGGCGGGAUAGCAAGUCAGAUGUGAAAUCCUAUGGCUUAACCAUAGAACUGCAUUUGAAACUGUUAUUCUAGAGUAUGGGAGAGGUAGGUGGAAUUCUUGGUGUAGGGGUAAAAUCCGUAGAGAUCAAGAGGAAUACUCAUGGCGAAGGCGACCUGCUAGAACAUAACUGACGCUGAUGCGCGAAAGCGUGGGGAGCAAACAGGAUUAGAUACCCCUGUAGUC